UACGUAGGGGGUGAGCGUUGUCCGGAAUCAUUGGGCGUAAAGAGCGUGUAGGCGGGCCGGAAGGUCUGGUGUGAAAGCCCGGGGCUCAACCCCGGAGGGUCACCGGAAACCGACGGCCUUGAGUCCGGAAGAGGAGAGUGGAAUUCCUGGUGUAGCGGUGGAAUGCGCAGAUAUCAGGAGGAACACCAAUGGCGAAGGCAGCUCUCUGGUACGUGACUGACGCUGAGACGCGAAAGCGUGGGUAGCAAACAGGAUUAGAUACCCUGGUAGUCCACGCCGUAAACGAUGGGCGCUAGGUGUGGGAGGUGUCGACUCCUCCCGUGCCGAAGCUAACGCAUUAAGCGCCCCGCCUGGGGAGUACGGCCGCAAGGCUA
rnacentral:rRNA from 1 species